rnacentral:rRNA from 1 species
UACGUAGGGUGCAAGCGUUGUCCGGAAUUAUUGGGCGUAAAGAGCUCGUAGGCGGUCUGUCGCGUCCGUUGUGAAAACUCGAGGCUCAACCUCGGGCUUGCAGUGGAUACGGGCAGACUAGAGUGCGGUAGGGGAGACUGGAAUUCCUGGUGUAGCAGUGAAAUGCGUAGAUAUCAGGAGGAAUACCGAUGGCGAAGGCGGGUCUCUGGGCCGAUACUGACGCUGAGGAGCGAAAGCGUGGGGAGCGAACAGG